rnacentral:lncRNA from 1 species
CCUGAACUGAAAAAAAAAAAAUCCAAAAAGACUUGACCUUUUUCCAGAGGAGUGACUAGCCUAGACUGAGUUAGAGGUAUGCAAACGAGUGGUUUUCCAGGAAAGAUGAAACAGAUGGGCGAGCAAAGCCUGCAGAGUUGUCUCCUCUUCACAUCAAGGUAUGACCCAGGAGGUGGCUCUGCUUUCAGCAUGUGACAGAGGACAAUGACACCAAUGUGACCAUUGUGCUUUGCCGCUCCUCAGGAAACUGUGCCAAGGUUAAGCUUUCCUUGACAGGAAUACCCCUGAAAUCCAGCUCCAAGAAAGCAAAGAUCUCAUCUGGAGGCCCCAGCAGAAUAGACCGUCGCUGGGCAUGGGCCUGUGGAACAGAGUAAGACAGCAUUUUUCCAGUGGGGAGUUGCGGACUGGCAGCUCCACCCAUGCUCUGUAGAAGCAAGCCUGGGAGAGGCUGCCAACUUUCAUCACUGUCUUAGAGCCCUGGAUGCCCCAAGGAUGCCAAAAGCUUGUGCUAAAGGACCACUUGACUCAUCCAGCCCAGCAUUGGUUUGAAGUAUUUGGCCAAGAGGUUUGUUCUCCACCAAAUACUGACAAUUUGCAGUAAGUUUGAGGCCCUCUUUCCUUCUGGCCCUGAGCCCCAGCUUCCGCCCAGCACAACGAGGCAGAUGGACUGAGAGUCUCCAGGUCCUCCUACUCUGCUGUUUUUCUAGGCACAGUUAAAGGCUGGCUCCCUUCCCAUCUCUCUAAAGGUUCUGGGCUUGGAGGAAGUGGCUAAGGCUGUGGCAUAAGGGGUGCUGGGAUACGCACCACGUGCGGUUCUUUCUUCUCACCCACCCCACCUAGGGCUGCAGCACAAGAGAGCAUCUCAUGGAGUUGGGAACCCAGGGGGUUCACGAUGAGGGGCCAUCCCACAGAAACAUGGGCCAUCCACCAAGUCUUCCUGCUCCCGGGAGGCCAGGAGCUUGUGGCUUCUCAGGCGGUAGGAUCAAACAGAUGCAGUAAUCACGAGCGUGCACGCCUCCUCAGGAAGCCCCCACAUUCCAGGAGCAGCUCCAAACGCACUGAGUCAUCGCCUCCUGCCUCGGCAUCUCGCACGUACCUCUCGCAAACCACACGUCCCACACCCACAGCACCUCAUGCUGGCAUAUAUAGACCCUGACCUGCUAACAGUCAUUCUCACUUAUCCCCCUCCCACACGGUCCAAACAACUCCAGCUGCCGAGAAUCCCAGUGCUGCCUGCAGAGGCUACCCGGUGUCCUGUCCAAUUCAGAGUCUUUGUGGGGAGAAGAUGAGACUUCUAUGGGUCACCCUGUAGGAAUACAAGGAUGCCAGAAAACCCAUUCAUUGUAUUUCAAAAGUAUGGCUUUCCCUUAGCUAACACAUGGGAGCCCCCAAAAGCUCUGUUAGGCAACCCCUCCAACACAGAGAAAUCCUGAACAAAGCUACGAUGGCGAUGUGAAUCCAUAGUUCUUUGGGGGCAAAAGGAGGCUAAACUCAUGAAUAUCGUCCUGUAGCAUAGCUUGCUGGGAGAAUAGGACGUGGAUACCUUGUGAAUGCCUGGUCUCUACCACAAAAUUGGAGGACAGACUAGUCCACCACCUUAGACGCCCAGACAACUGGAACUGAACCCAGAGAGGAGCUGUCCAGACCCCUGCUAGAAGGCGUUCCCAGGUCCUCCUAGAAAUCUGGUCCUCUUAUGAGAGUCUCUCUGCAGGACUGUCAAGGAGAGAGGCAGGCCCAUAGCUAGGGAAGCUUGCCUUCUCCUCCCAUCCUCCCACCCCUCAGCCCCAAGCCCAGAGGAGUGUAUGGUCAUCUCUACUGGAG